AUGCUCGACCACCACCAGCCCGUACCGGCCAGCCACAGACCUCCAUCAAACCUCCCUAAAACCUCCACCAAACCAGCACCGCAGAGCACCGAGGGGAGCCUCCCGUCAGCGCCCGCCCCUGCCAAGGCCGUCCCGCGCGCCCGCCCGACCAGAUGUCGGGCCCUGGACGCACACCACCGUCACCGCCAUCGGGCCGACCUCACGCCGUCGCCCUCACCAGGCCUUGGGGCAGGAGGUCACCGCCGCCACGCCGCAGGAACCGCACCACGCGGAGACAACGAACAGGCUGCAGCAGAAAACCCCCGAAGAACGCCCGGCCAGAUCCAGCGUCCGCCAGCCUCCCCGCCGGCCACCGAAGCACCACCGAGGCUCCCGCGCCGCCUAGCCGAGCAGGAACGGUGA
rnacentral:rRNA from 1 species